rnacentral:rRNA from 1 species
GUGGGGAAUAUUGGACAAUGGGCGAAAGCCUGAUCCAGCCAUGCCGCGUGAGUGAAGAAGGCCUUAGGGUUGUAAAGCUCUUUCACCCGUGAAGAUGAUGACGGUAGCGGGAGAAGAAGCCCCGGCUAACUCCGUGCCAGCAGCCGCGGUAAUACGGAGGGGGCUAGCGUUGUUCAGAAUUACUGGGCGUAAAGGGCGCGUAGGCGGCCUGUCAAGUCAGGGGUGAAAGGCCCGGGCUCAACCCGGGAACUGCCCUUGAAACUGGCAAGCUAGAGUCCGAGAGAGGAUGGCGGAAUUCCCAGUGUAGAGGUGAAAUUCGUAGAUAUUGGGAAGAACACCGGUGGCGAAGGCGGCCAUCUGGCUCGGUACUGACGCUGAGGCGCGAAAGCGUGGGGAGCAAACAGG